AUUGAACGCUGGCGGCAGGCCUAACACAUGCAAGUCGAACGAGUGGCGGACGGGUGAGUAAUGUCUGGGACACUGCCCGAUGGAGGGGGAUACCUACUGGAAACGGUAGCUAAUCCCGCAUACCAUCGGAUUUGCCCAGAUGGGAUUAGCUAUUAGGUGGGGUAACGGCUCACCUUGGCGACGAUCCCUAGCUGGUCUGAGAGGAUGACCAGCAACACGGGAACUGGGCCACGGCCCAGACGCCUACGGGAGGCAGAAGUGGGGAAUAUUGGACAAUGGGGGCAAGCCGGAUGCAGCAAUGCCGCGUGUAUGAAGAAGGCUUUCGGGUUGUAAAGUACGUUCAGCGAGGAGGCGUUACUCGAAGAAGAAGCACCGGCUAACUCCGUGCCAGCCGCCGCGGUAAUUC
rnacentral:rRNA from 1 species